CCCGCUGAACUUAAGCAUAUCAAUAAGCGGAGGAAAAGAAACUAACAAGGAUUCCCCUAGUAACUGCGAGUGAAGCGGGAAAAACUCAAAUUUAAAAUCUGACAGUUUCACUGUCCGAGUUGUAAUCUGGAGAAGCAUUUUCCGUGUCGGACCGUGUACAAGUCUCUUGGAAUAGAGCGUCAUAGAGGGUGAGAAUCCCGUCCAUGACACGGACUACCGAUGCUUUGUGAUAUGCUCUCGAAGAGUCGAGUUGUUUGGGAAUGCAGCUCAAAAUGGGUGGUAAAUUCCAUCUAAAGCUAAAUAUUGGCGAGAGACCGAUAGCGAACAAGUACCGUGAGGGAAAGAUGAAAAGCACUUUGGAAAGAGAGUUAAACAGUACGUGAAAUUGUUGAAAGGGAAACGCUUGAAGUCAGUCGCGUUGAUUGAGACUCAGCCUUGCUUUGCAUGGUGUACUUCUCAGUUAACGGGUCAACAUCAAUUUCAGUUGGUGGAUAAAGGCAUUGGGAAUGUGGCACCUUCGGGUGUGUUAUAGCCCUUUGUUGCAUACACUGACCGGGAUUGAGGAACGCAGCACGCCACUAAGGCCAGGGAUUCGUCCCAUGUAACGUGCUUAGGAUGUUGGCAUAAUGGCUUUAAGCGACCCGUCUUGAAACACGG
rnacentral:rRNA from 1 species